rnacentral:rRNA from 1 species
GAUGAACGCUAGCGACAGGCUUAACACAUGCAAGUCGAGGGGCAGCACGGGAGUAGCAAUACAACUGGUGGCGACCGGCGCACGGGUGAGUAACGCGUAUGCAACCUACCUAUCAGAGGGGAAUAACCCGGCGAAAGUCGGACUAAUACCGCAUAAAACAGGGGCACCGCAUGGUGAUAUUUGUUAAAGAAAUUCGCUGAUAGAUGGGCAUGCGUUCCAUUAGGUAGUUGGUGAGGUAACGGCUCACCAAGCCGACGAUGGAUAGGGGAACUGAGAGGGUGGUCCCCCACACUGGUACGGAGACACGGACCAGACUCCUACGGGAGGCAGCAGUGAGGAAUAUUGGUCAAUGGGCGGGAGCCUGAACCAGCCAAGUCGCGUGAAGGAAGAAGGAUCUAUGGUUCGUAAACUUCUUUUGCAGGGGAAUAAAGUGCAGGACGUGUCCUGUUUUGUAUGUACCCUGAGAAUAAGGAUCGGCUAACUCCGUGCCAGCAGCCGCGGUAACAC